GCGCGCACACGAAGCUAGCCCAAGGAAAUACAAAAAUAAUUGCCAGCCCCUGUAGCACGUCGUCUUAUUUUCCAGCCGCGGCGCACAAGAUAAGGCGAGCGCCCGCGCCCUCGUCUCCCCCACGGCGAGCUCCGCCUCCUGCGUGCGGUCGCCGCCUCCCUCGACCUCCACCAUCUGCUCCCGUGCUCCCCUUCUUCCCCCAUCUCGCGCUGCCAUGGAAGGAAGGGCAUGGCCCUGCGAGCGGCCGCGACGAGGCUCGCGUCCUCCAGCCUCCGCCGCCGCCACGGCCACCUCCUGCCGGCAGCCGCCACCAGCUUCAGAUUCAAGCAGGUGCGCGAGGACGAGAAGAGCAAGCUGGUUGGAAAUGGAGAAGAUGUUCAGGCGCGGCGCGACGGGCGGAGCAGCAGAGGUUCAGGCGCCGCGCGGCGGGCGGAGCAGGAGAGGUUCAUGGGCGGUGGAGCAGGAGAGGUUCAUGGGCGGUGCCCUUGUCUAAUCUAAUGGUCGUUUCUGAUGCAGUUAACAAAUUAUAUUGCCUUGUACGUACUACUUUUUAACAAAUUGGCUCCUACGAAGACUAAUGGAAGGAUCAUCAGACCAACGUUGUCAAAUGGCUGCUUCAAAUUUUUGGCCUUGGAGCUGAUCAGCAGCACGCGGACAUGCAUCAGGAAGCCGACGGACAGCCAGAGCAGGAAGGCGUGGAUCUUGAGCUGCAGCGACAACAACAACUUGGGCGUUGCCUGCAAAAAAAACAACUGUUCAAGUGCUCAAUCAAGUGUAAGUUUGCUUUCAGUCAAUUAUUGCAGUUCUACAAUGACACAUUCAGAUUCUUGCAUCCAAAGUUAGAUAUAUAGGAACAGGGAAAGAAUCUCCAACGCUUAUUUACAUGGGAAAGAACACUCUUGUAACUUUGGUUCAGAUCCUCAGUCUAUCUGAAGCACCAUAGCAUAGAUUGAGUUUGCAAGCAAAAGGGUCACACAAUCUGACAGUACAAGGAGCAGUCUUUUCCUUCACAUCUUUGUUUUAGCUUGCAUCCGACAGUUGUGUGCUCCAAGAUUAGGCAACCAAAACUGAACUUAUGACUACAUGAGUGCAUGAACAACUGUUAAUAUCUCUUAUUUGACUCAUCUUUGGAUUGGCUGGAGACGAGAUUCUCUGGCUUUGGGGAUGGUCCUUUGGCGUUCUAUUGGGGUUCUAUUCAUGUGCACUAGGCACUUCUCAACACUUCCAUAAUUAUUCUAGAACCUCUUUAAAUUUGCAGUGCUCAUCAAUUGUACAGGUUUUGCAGUCAACUAUUCAGAUUAUUGACUAGGGACGAUAUUUUCAGUCCUACUGAGUCUGCAAAGGAUGCGCCAAGCCAAGAUUAAUUAUGGUUUUUUUUGUAAAUUGCAUCGGUUUACUUAUGUACCUGCUCCUUAGAUGAUUGUUAAUUUGUGAUUCAGUCGUGGAAAUUUGGGUGCUUUCUUCGAGUGUCCUGAAAAAUGGUUCAACGCGUGUUUGCCAGAAACUGUAGAUUAGCCAGACUCGUGUGUUGAGCAUGUCAGUCUAUGUGUGGGCACGAGCGAAAAUGUAAAUUAUGUUAGAGACGAGUUUCUGGAAAAAAUCCUGGAGACGCGCUGCUGCUGCUGCUCUGCUCUUGAUAGCCAAAGUGGAGGCUGCAGUUCUAAGACUUCAAGGAGGAAAGGAAUACAUGGUUGCUUCUUGGAGAGGUGUGUUGUUUCCCUGCAGAAAAAUAAAUCUCUUAGAGUUGUUUAACUGAACCUGUUCCACUGUCAUUUUUAUGUUCAGAUAAAAAUUGUUAUUGGUUACUCAA